rnacentral:rRNA from 1 species
AUGGAGUUACCUUCUUCUUAUUUAGAUCUUGAUUCUAUGUUUUCCCACCAGUUCAUUGAGAGGACUGGACCACCUUACCAGUAUCAACUAAUCUUUGACAGACGACAUGUGGUCCGUGUUGCUCUUCCUGCUCCUACCUUCUUUGAUUUUCAGGCGAGAGGAACAUAUAUUAUUACCAGAGAGGAGGCAGAUGAGUACGAAAGGGGAGUGGAGGCUGCUCGACUCCACGCUACAGCUCAGGCGGCAAUAGCCGCUGCGUCACGAUACGACCCCAGCUUCACCUACGGAUAUCCGCCAGGCCAUCCCUGGAAAUAG